CUAUUGUUGUUGUUGUUGUUGUUGUUGUUGUUGUUGUUGUUGUUGUCGUUGUUGUCGUUAAUGUCGUUGUUGUCAUUGUUGUCGCUAUCGUUCUUGCCGUUGUUCUCGUUAUUGUCGCUGUUGUUGUUGUCGUCGUCGUCGUUAUUUGUGUUGUUGUUGUCAUUGUUGUUGUUUUUAUUUUUGUUGUUGUUGUUGUUGUUGUUGACGUCUUCGUCGUUAUCGUCUUCAUUGUUUUUGUUGUUGUUGUU
rnacentral:lncRNA from 1 species